GGUGUGGGGUACUCACAAACACACACACACACAUAUGCCUAUUGUAGUCAUGUGAUUUACUUUGGAAAUAGCUUUCUGUCACAAAGGAGGAAUGGAUCAGAGUGUCCUCUGUGGUGUAGGCUGUUUAAAGAGAGAGUUAUGGCCGAGUUCUGGCAGCCAGGCUUCAUCGCAGUGGGCCAUUAUUCAAUUACUAUAUGUAUAAAAAAUUUUCCAGUUACCUUGUGUUGUGGUGUCCUUGACGAACUUGAAUGAACGAAGCUGCGUAUGGCUAGUGAGCAGUGACAAGCUGAGCCAGCCAUCCUGUAUUCACCUCCUGCGGUGGAGAACGAGGAUGCUUCAUCUCGUGGGAUUAAGAGCUCAGCCAUGAUGAGUACAUCGGUCUCUCAUUCCAAGACAGAAAUAAUGGACACGGAAAGAGUGAGAGAGAAAGAGAGACUCUGAUGCACCACAGCAGACAAAGUAGUAACCGUAUUUCUACAGAAUUUUGCUUCAGAACAUGACAAGAACACAUGACUGAAAGGCUUAGUAAGGCAAGCAAUCCCCCCAAGGCUGUGUAGUAUUGAUCCAGUGAGUGGCCUGGACAAGCUAUUGAUGAAGUAAUCAUCUAGGCCAUAGCCUUGUUUCCGAACGACCCCCUCUGUGCUAUAUGAUUCAUCACUUAAAUCUUAUGUCUUAUGCUUAAUCUAAGACAUCUUAGAUUAAUGAAUGCACAAGUAAAUAAAAAGCUAAAUGUACCACAACAAAAGAAAAGUUCUGACACUCAAAAAUAAUUCGCUCUAGAAUGUAUUUGAAUAUACACAUUUUUUUUAUACAUAAACAAAAUUGACAUCACAUUCA